AUAAAUUUUUCAAUAACCAGUGGAAUUAAUACUAGACAAAAUAUUUAUAAUUUCAAAAGUAAAAUUUCAUAUUAUAAAAAAACUUGUCAAAAAAAAAAAAAAUUUUAAAUUUUUAUUUAACUUAAUAUCACAAUCGUCACUUCCAACCGAAGGGGGGUGUUCUCCGUGCAUUAUCAAAGUGAUUGGUGUAGGAGGAGGAGGAGGAAAUGCAGUUAAUAGAAUGGUUGGUUGUGUUGAAGGAGUUGAAUUUUGGUCCAUAAAUA
rnacentral:rRNA from 14 species